UGCCUUCUUUAAAAAAGUAAAAGACUGGACUCAAGAACAUAGCUUAGGUCAAAUUAUAAUGGGAGGAGAUUUUAAUGAUAUUCUAAAAAUUAAUGAUACAAAAAAUUAAAAACAAAAAAACAAAUUCAACAAACCAGUUCACGGGCUGAAAACGCUCAUUAAAUAUUUCAAAUUCAUAGAUAUAUGGAGAGAUAAAAACCCAACACAAAUCCAAUAUACGUGGCGUAGAAAAUCAGGAUUAGAAGCAACUAGAAUCGACUUCUUCCUUGUAAGUAAAGAAUGUAAAUCACAAAUAGUCAAAGCAGAUAUAAGGCCUAUUAUAUUAAAAUCAACAGACCAUAACGGUAUUUCAUUAAAAAUCAGAACUCAAAAAAUAAACAAAGGGAAAGGAUACUGGAAAUUAAAUUCAUCAAUACUGAAUGAUAGAGACUACUGUUGUAAUAUAGAAAAACUAAUAAAAUAUUAUGAAAA
rnacentral:lncRNA from 1 species